GACGAACGCUGGCGGCGUGCUUAACACAUGCAAGUCGAGCGGUAAGGCCCUUUCGGGGGUACACGAGCGGCGAACGGGUGAGUAACACGUGGGUGACCUGCCCUCAGCUCUGGGAUAAGCCCGGGAAACUGGGUCUAAUACCGGAUAUGACUCCAUGACGCAUGUUGUGGGGUGGAAAGCCUUGUGCGGCUGAGGAUGGGCCCGCGGCCUAUCAGCUUGUUGGUGGGGUGAUGGCCACCAAGGCGACGACGGUAGCCGGCCUGAGAGGGCGACCGGCCACACUGGGACUGAGAUACGGCCCAGACUCCUACGGGAGGCAGCAGUGGGGAAUCUUGCGCAAUGGGCGAAAGCCUGACGCAGCGACGCCGCGUGAGGGAUGACGCCU
rnacentral:rRNA from 1 species